rnacentral:rRNA from 2 species
GACGAACGCUGGCGGCGUGCCUAAUACAUGCAAGUCGAACGAACUCUGGUAUUGAUUGGUGCUUGCAUCAUGAUUUACAUUUGAGUGAGUGGCGAACUGGUGAGUAACACGUGGGAAACCUGCCCAGAAGCGGGGGAUAACACCUGGAAACAGAUGCUAAUACCGCAUAACAACUUGGACCGCAUGGUCCGAGUUUGAAAGAUGGCUUCGGCUAUCACUUUUGGAUGGUCCCGCGGCGUAUUAGCUAGAUGGUGGGGUAACGGCUCACCAUGGCAAUGAUACGUAGCCGACCUGAGAGGGUAAUCGGCCACAUUGGGACUGAGACACGGCCCAAACUUCUACGGGAGGCAGCAGUAGGGAAUCUUCCACAAUGGACGAAAGUCUGAUGGAGCAACGCCGCGUGAGUGAAGAAGGGUUUCGGCUCGUAAAACUCUGUUGUUAAAGAAGAACAUAUCUGAGAGUAACUGUUCAGGUAUUGACGGUAUUUAACCGGAAAGCCACGGCUAACUACGUGCCAGCAGCCGCGGUAAUACGUAGGUGGCAAGCGUUGUCCGGAUUUAUUGGGCGUAAAGCGAGCGCAGGCGGUUUUUUAAGUCUGAUGUGAAAGCCUUCGGCUCAACCGAAGAAGUGCAUCGGAAACUGGGAAACUUGAGUGCAGAAGAGGACAGUGGAACUCCAUGUGUAGCGGUGAAAUGCGUAGAUAUAUGGAAGAACACCAGUGGCGAAGGCGGCUGUCUGGUCUGUAACUGACGCUGAGGCUCGAAAGUAUGGGUAGCAAACAGGAUUAGAUACCCUGGUAGUCCAUACCGUAAACGAUGAAUGCUAAGUGUUGGAGGGUUUCCGCCCUUCAGUGCUGCAGCUAACGCAUUAAGCAUUCCGCCUGGGGAGUACGGCCGCAAGGCUGAAACUCAAAGGAAUUGACGGGGGCCCGCACAAGCGGUGGAGCAUGUGGUUUAAUUCGAAGCUACGCGAAGAACCUUACCAGGUCUUGACAUACUGUGCAAAUCUAAGAGAUUAGACGUUCCCUUCGGGGACAUGGAUACAGGUGGUGCAUGGUUGUCGUCAGCUCGUGUCGUGAGAUGUUGGGUUAAGUCCCGCAACGAGCGCAACCCUUAUUAUCAGUUGCCAGCAUUAAGUUGGGCACUCUGGUGAGACUGCCGGUGACAAACCGGAGGAAGGUGGGGAUGACGUCAAAUCAUCAUGCCCCUUAUGACCUGGGCUACACACGUGCUACAAUGGAUGGUACAACGAGUUGCGAACUCGCGAGAGUAAGCUAAUCUCUUAAAGCCAUUCUCAGUUCGGAUUGUAGGCUGCAACUCGCCUACAUGAAGUCGGAAUCGCUAGUAAUCGCGGAUCAGCAUGCCGCGGUGAAUACGUUCCCGGGCCUUGUACACACCGCCCGUCACACCAUGAGAGUUUGUAACACCCAAAGUCGGUGGGGUAACCUUUUAGGAACCAGCCGCCUAAGGUGGGACAGAUGAUUAGGGUG